CCAAUCCUGAUGUGUACGUUGUUCGAAUGUACGUUUUGACCGAACAUUUAUGUACAGGGAGCCUGGUGUUUCCAUGUGGAGUGCAAGCCUCAUUCCGAUGAGGACGCAUGAAGCAUGGAACAGGGCACCCACCUGCUAGGAGCGGGUUCAAAACUCAUGAAACAACGGCACAAUUGGGAUUGGA
rnacentral:other from 1 species